rnacentral:rRNA from 1 species
GAUGAACGCUGGCGGCGUGCCUAAUACAUGCAAGUCGAGCGAACGGACGAGAAGCUUGCUUCUCUGAUGUUAGCGGCGGACGGGUGAGUAACACGUGGAUAACCUACCUAUAAGACUGGGAUAACUUCGGGAAACCGUAGCUAAUACCGGAUAAUAUUUUGAACCGCAUGGUUCAAAAGUGAAAGACGGUCUUGCUGUCACUUAUAGAUGGAUCCGCGCUGCAUUAGCUAGUUGGUAAGGUAACGGCUUACCAAGGCAACGAUGCAUAGCCGACCUGAGAGGGUGAUCGGCCACACUGGAACUGGGACACGGUCCAGACUCCUACGGGAGGCAGCAGUAGGGAAUCUUCCGCAAUGGGCGAAAGCCUGACCGAGCAACGCCGCGUGAGUGAUGAAGGUCUUCGGAUCGUAAAACUCUGUUAUUAGGGAAGAACAUAUGUGUAAGUAACUGUGCACAUCUUGACGGUACCUAAUCAAAAAGCCACGGCUAACUACGUG